UGAGGAAAGUCCGGGCUUCACAGGGCAGGAUGCCGGAUAACGUCCGGUGGAGGUGACUCCCAGGAAAGUGCAACAGAAAAUAAACUGCUAUACGCACAGUAUAGUGAGGGUGAAAAGGCAGUGUAAGAGACUACCGCUUGCCUGGUAACAGGUGAGGCAUUGUAAACCCCAUCCGAAGCAAGACCAAACAGAGGGUUAAGGCUUGCCCGGCCGUCCUCAGGUAGGUCGCUUGAGGCCGUUGGUAACAUCGGUCCUAGACAGAUGAUCAUUCCAGACAGAACCCGGCUUACAGUCCGGCUCA
rnacentral:RNase_P_RNA from 1 species